rnacentral:rRNA from 1 species
AACCAGCACCUCAAGUGGUCAGGAUGAUUAUUGGGCCUAAAGCAUCCGUAGCCUGUUCUGUAAGUUUUCGGUUAAAUCUAUGCGCUCAACGUAUAGGCUGCCGAAAAUACUGCAGAACUAGGGAGUGGGAGAGGUAGACGGUACUCGGUAGGAAGGGGUAAAAUCCUUUGAUCUAUUGAUGACCACCUGUGGCGAAGGCGGUCUACCAGAACACGUUCGACGGUGAGGGAUGAAAGCUGGGGGAGCAAACUGG